rnacentral:rRNA from 1 species
GACGAACGCUGGCGGCGUGCUUAACACAUGCAAGUCGAGCGGUAAGGCCCUUCGGGUACGACGAGCGGCGAACGGGUGAGUAACACGUGGGUGACCUGCCUCUAGCUCUGGGAUAAGCCUGGGAAACUAGGGUCGUAAUACCGGAUAUGACUCCACGGCGCAUGUUGUGGGGUGGAAAGCCUUGUGUGGCUAGAGAUGGGCCCGCGGCCUAUCAGCUUGUUGGUGGGGUGAUGGCCUACCAAGGCGACGACGGGUAGCCGGCCUGAGAGGGCGA